ACUCCUACGGGAGGCAGCAGUAGGGAAUCUUCCACAAUGGGCGCAAGCCUGAUGGAGCAACACCGCGUGAGUGAAGAAGGGUUUCGGCUCGUAAAGCUCUGUUGUUAAAGAAGAACACGUAUGAGAGUAACUGUUCAUACGUUGACGGUAUUUAACCAGAAAGUCACGGCUAACUACGUGCCAGCAGCCGCGGUAAUACGUAGGUGGCAAGCGUUAUCCGGAUUUAUUGGGCGUAAAGAGAGUGCAGGCGGUUUUCUAAGUCUGAUGUGAAAGCCUUCGGCUUAACCGGAGAAGUGCAUCGGAAACUGGAUAACUUGAGUGCAGAAGAGGGUAGUGGAACUCCAUGUGUAGCGGUGGAAUGCGUAGAUAUAUGGAAGAACACCAGUGGCGAAGGCGGCUACCUGGUCUGCAACUGACGCUGAGACUCGAAAGCAUGGGUAGCGAACAGGAUUAGAUACCCUGUAGGAUAGCG
rnacentral:rRNA from 1 species